rnacentral:rRNA from 1 species
AGCGUGCAGGAUGACGGCCCUAUGGGUUGUAAACUGCUUUUAUAAGGGAAUAAAGUGAGUCUCGUGAGACUUUUUGCAUGUACCUUAUGAAUAAGGACCGGCUAAUUCCGUGCCAGCAGCCGCGGUAAUACGGAAGGUCCGGGCGUUAUCCGGAUUUAUUGGGUUUAAAGGGAGCGUAGGCCGGGGAUUAAGCGUGUUGUGAAAUGUAGACGCUCAACGUCUGCACUGCAGCGCGAACUGGUUUCCUUGAGUACGCACAAAGUGGGCGGAAUUCGUGGUGUAGCGGUGAAAUGCUUAGAUAUCACGAAGAACUCCGAUUGCGAAGGCAGCUCACUGGAGCGCAACUGACGCUGAAGCUCGAAAGUGCGGGUAUCGAACAGGAUUAGAUACCCUGGUAGUCCGCACGGUAAACGAUGGAUGCCCGCUGUUGGUCUGAAUAGGUCAGCGGCCAAGCGAAAGCAUUAAGCAUCCCACCUGGGGAGUACGCCGGCAACGGUGCAACUCAAAG